rnacentral:snRNA from 1 species
UUGCUAUUUUUUUCAUAGCACAUAUACUAAAAUUGGAAUGAUACAGAAAUGAUCUGUAUGGCCUCUGCUCAAGGAAACACACAAAUUCAUGAAGCAUUCCUUCUUUUU